AAAUACUAUUCAGCCUUAAGGAAUGAAAUUUGAUGCUACAAUGUAGAUGAACCUUUAGAAUAUUAUACUAAGUGAAAUAAGUCAGACACAAAAAGUCAAAUGUCAAAUGAUUCCAUUUAUAUGAGUUCCUAGAAGAGACAAAUUUGUAGAGAUGGAAAGCAGAAUAGUGGUUAUCAGGGACUGGAGAGAGUGUAGAAUGGGAAGUUUUUAUUUAGUGGGUAUAGAAUUAGAGAUUGGGAUGACAAAAAUGUUCUGGAGAUAAACAGUGAUGAUGGUUGUACAACAAUGUCAGUCUACUUAAUGCUACUGCAUUGUACAUUUAAAAAAUAUUUAAAAUGG
rnacentral:lncRNA from 1 species